rnacentral:misc_RNA from 1 species
UGGGACUACUGGGGUUUCUAAUCCUGUUUGCUCCCCACGCUUUCGCACCUCAGCGUCAGUAUCGAGCCAGGCAGUCGCCUUCGCCACUGAUGUUCCUUCCUAUAUCUACGCAUUUCACCGCUACACAGGAAAUUCCACUACCCUCUCUCGUACUCUAGCCAGCCAGUUCUGAAUGCAGUUCCAAGGUUGAGCCCUGGGCUUUCACAUCCAGCUUAACUAACCGCCUACGCGCGCUUUACGCCCAGUAAUUCCGAUUAACGCUCGCACCCUCCGUAUUACCGCGGCUGCUGGCA